GUUCGUCAAAGUAUUUCUACUCAUUACUCACUAUAAUAAAAAUUAUAAAUAAAAUGUGUUGUUAUUAAAAUGUGCGUGGCCCACGACAAGCGUCUAUAGAGUUUAUAGUAUUAACAGAUCGAUCUAACAUAGAAUCUAUAAAUGAAUCGAAAAUACAUAUUUAGUGAUGUCCUUUGUAAAUUGUAGGUACAUUGUAGGUAUAAGGUACCUAUUUAGUUGGAAGGUACGAGCACUUUACAAAAAGAGUACCGUAAAAAUCGAGAAAAAAUCUAACGCUUCCAAUUUUUUUUUUUUUUUAUGUAUAAUUUAAAUAGAGUUGAAAUUUAAUUUUAAUAAAACGUAUGUUCAAAAUGUAUCAAAUUAUUUUACAGUAAAACCAAGUACACCGAUUCAAAUUCGAUCACUGUAGUGCUCCACAAACAUUUUUGAAUUUAACACAGAAAAAAACUUAACUAACUUGGAAAAUAUUUAAAGUUAAAGACGAGAAAAUUAUUUUCGUAGAAAAUUAUGAAAAACCUAACAAAUGUAUGCAUACAUAUUAUGUGUGUGCCAGUGCCUGUGUUACGUCGAACUCUCAAUUCUUAUAAUUCUGUGAAAUUGCAGAAAAAUACUCUAUUUCAUGAAAUAAACAACGUCAUUGCCGAGUAUGUGAAAUCGGCAACUUUUCUAGCAAUUUUACGGAAUCGGCAGAAUUUCAACACAUUCUUGGAUGAGUUUUUUGAAUUCUUGAAUAGUUAUGUACCAUUCACUAUGUGCGAGAUCCACAUAGAUAGUGUGAGUUGCACAUCGAACAAUUGCACGUGUCAAAAAAAUAGCAUGGUAUGUAAUUUAAAGUGUCAACC